rnacentral:rRNA from 1 species
UACGUAGGGUGCGAGCGUUAAUCGGAAUUACUGGGCGUAAAGGGUGCGCAGGCGGUUAUAUAAGACAGAUGUGAAAAUCCCCCGGGCUCAACCUGGGAACUGCGUUUUGUGACUGUAUGACUAGAGUACGGUAGAGAGGGGUGGAAUUCCUGGUGUAGCAGUGAAAUGCGCAGAUAUCAGGAGGAACACCGAUUGCGAAGGCAGCUCGCUGGAAC